GACAGAGGCCUCGAGCAUUAGGCGGAAUCACUGGGCGUAAAGGGCGCGUAGGCGGCCUGAUAAGUAGGGGGUGAAAUCUUGCGGCUCAACCGCAAGGCUGCCUUCUAAACUGUCAGGCUGGAGCACGGUAGAGGCAGAUGGAAUUCCCGGUGUAGCGGUGGAAUGCGUAGAGAUCGGGAAGAACACCAGUGGCGAAGGCGGUCUGCUGGGCCGUUGCUGACGCUGAGGCGCGACAGCGUGGGGAGCAAACAGG
rnacentral:rRNA from 1 species